rnacentral:rRNA from 1 species
UACAGAGGUCUCAAGCGUUGUUCGGAAUCACUGGGCGUAAAGCGUGCGUAGGCUGUUUCGUAAGUCGUGUGUGAAAGGCGCGGGCUCAACCCGCGGGCGGCACAUGAUACUGCGAGACUAGAGUAAUGGAGGGGGAACCGGAAUUCUCGGUGUAGCAGUGAAAUGCGUAGAUAUCGAGAGGAACACUCGUGGCGAAGGCGGGUUCCUGGACAUUAACUGACGCUGAGGCACGAAGGCCAGGGGAGCGAAAGGG